rnacentral:lncRNA from 1 species
UGAGUGUUGAAUGGCUGUGACUUGGCGGGGUUUGAAAGGGAAACGAGAAACCGAAUAGACCGAGUGAACCAAAAAGGCCGAAUACAGGAAAAGCACAUCCCGACCUCCGUCUCGAUUCUUCGUCUCCACCACCAGAUCGCCCACACAACGGCGGCCGAUGGCGCCGACGGCGGGCUGGAGGCGCGAGCAGGCAGGCGGCGCGAGCGGCGGGCGCAGGCCGACUGCUCGCCACUCGACUCUCGAGGCUCUCUGAAUCGCAUCGUCCUGGAUGUCAUGGGAAUCUUCAAAGAUAAUGGUGCGCAGAUAUUUGAACUGGCAGAAACUUUUAAUGGCCUCAACUGGGAAGCUAUUAAUGCCAACAACAGAGAGAUCGUAAUACUCAAGCUCAUCGAUGGCAUCCUCAGCCUCCUCGACUGCAUCCCUGAGCUGCCACAGCCGUGUAUCAAGGUAGUUGAAGGCCUUGUUGGCAAAGAAGGAGAUAGUGGGGGAUGCAACUGACUUUCCAGCAAACACUAGUGCAGAAGAUGCCAUGUUAGUCCUACAAUAUGUUUGUGGCACAAGAGAGAGAUGGAGAUGAUGAAAUGCUGGGUGAUGUAUACAACUGGUCCGAAAACUUUACCUUCUUCAGCAAAGUUGAAAUGUACGUAGGGGGCUGAACAAAAACCAUUUCCCAGAACCGUUAAACCCAGUCAGCAGAUAUGUAAUUUAAGCAGUUGACCCUCCCACUGUAAAAUGAACUGAAGUUGACUUGAAAUCCUUUUUUAAAG